GUUGGAAAAGAGUUCCUACAAAGGUUUUUGGACAGUGAUUUUAACCCUAACGCCAAAAACCUUAAACAUUUCCUAAGCCCCAUAACCUAAUACCCGGGUAUUACCUUCAGGAAGCCCGAACACCCCAAAUAUUUUUUUUUUCAUUUCUCUUUUUUUUGGGUCUAACUGACUCCAAAAGUUUAGAAACAGUUCCUACAAAGGUUUUGGACAGUGAUUUUCACCCUAACAUCAAAAACCUUUAACCUUACCAUAGCCCAAUAACCUAAUACCCGGGUAUUACCUUCAGGAAGCCCGAACACCCCAAUAUUUUUUUUUUCAUUUUACAUUUUUUUUGUAUGUAACCAACUCCAAAAGGUCUGAAACAUGUUCCUAAAAAGGUUUUGGACAGUGAUUUUAACCCUAACGCCAAAAACCUCAAACCUUACCCUAGCCCCAAAACCUAAUAUUAGGGUAUUACCUCCAGGAAGCCUGAAAACCCCAAAUAUUUUUUUUUCAUUUCUCUUUUUUUUGGGUCUAACUGACUCCAAAAGUUUAGAAACAGUUCCUACAAAGGUUUUGGACAGUGAUUUUAACCGUAAUGCCAAAAACCUUAAACCUUACCAUAGCCCCAUAACCUGAUACCCGGGUAUUACCUUCAGGAAGCCCGAACACCCCAAAUAUUUUUUUUUAAUUUUACAUUUUUUUUUCGGUGUACAAACUCCAAAAGGUCUGAAACGUGUUCCUAAAAAGGUUUUGGACAGUGAUUUUAACCCUAAUGCCAAAAACCUCAAACCUUACCCUAGCCCCAAAACCUAAUACCGGGGUAUUACCUUCAGGAAGCCCGAACACCCCAAAUAUUUUUUUUUCAUUUUUCUUUUUACAUUUUUUUUUUGGUGUACAAACUCCAAAAGGUCUGAAAGGUGUUCCUAAAAAGGUUUUGGACAGUGAUUUUAACCCUAAUGCCAAAAACCUCAAACCUUACCAUAGCACCAAAACCUAAUACCCGGGUAUUACCUUCAGGAAGCCCGAACACCCCAAAUAUUUUUUUUUCUUUUUUUUUUUGGUCAACCUAACUCCAAAAGGUUGGAAAAGAGUUCCUACAAAGGUUUUUGGACAGUGAUUUUAACCCUAACGCCAAAAACCUUAAACAUUUCCUAAGCCCCAUAACCUAAUACCCGGGUAUUACCUUCAGGAAGCCUGAACACCCCAAAUAUUUUUUUUUCUUUUUUCUUUUUUUUUUUGGUCAACCUAACUCCAAAAGGUUGAAAAGAGUUCCUAUAAAGGUUUUUGAACAGUGAUUUUAACCCUAACGCCAAAAACCUUAAACCUUACCAUAGCCCCAUAACCUGAUACCCGGGUAUUACCUUCAGGAAGCCCGAACACCCCAAAUAUUUUUUUUUAAUUUUAAAUUUUUUUUUCGGUGUACAAACUCCAAAAGGUCUGAAACGUGUUCCUAAAAAGGUUUUGGACAGUGAUUUUAACCCUAAUGCCAAAAACCUCAAACCUUACCCUAGCCCCAAAACCUAAUACCCGGGUAUUACCUUCAGGAAGCCCGAACACCCCAAAUAUUUUUUAUUCCUUUUUUCUUUUUUUUUUGGUCUAACUAACUCCAAAAGGUUGGAAAAGAGUUCCUACAAAGGUUUUUGGACAGUGAUUUUAACCCUGAUGCCAAAAACCCUAAAACUUUCCAAAGCCCCAUAACCUAAUACCCGGGUAUUACCUUCAGGAAGCCCGAACACCCCAAAUAUUUUUUAUUCCUUUUUUCUUUUUUUUUUUGGUCUAACUAACUCCAAAAGUUUGGAAAAGAGUUCCUACAAAGGUUUUGGACAGUGAUUUUAACCCUAACGCCAAAAACCUUAAACCUUACCAUAGCCCCAUAACCUGAUACCCGGGUAUUACCUUCAGGAAGCCCGAACACCCCAAAUAUUUUUUUUUCAUUUUACAUUUUUUUUUGGUGUACAAACUCCAAAAGGUCUGAAAGGUGUUCCUAAAAAGGUUUUGGACAGUGAUUUUAACCCUAAUGCCAAAAACCUCAAACCUUACCCUAGCACCAAAACCUAAUACCCGGGUAUUACCUUCAGGAAGCCCGAACACCCCAAAUAUUUUUUUUUCUUUUUUUUUUGGUCAACCUAACUCCAAAAGGUUGGAAAAGAGUUCCUACAAAGGUUUUUGGACAGUGAUUUUAACCCUAACGCCAAAAACCUUAAACAUUUCCUAAGCCCCAUAACCUAAUACCCGGGUAUUACCUUCAGGAAGCCCGAACACCCCAAAUAUUUUUUUUUCAUUUUUCUUUUUUUUUGGUCUAACUAACUCCAAAAGGUUGGAAAAGAGUUCCUACAAAGGUUUUUGGACAGAGAUUUUAACCCUGAUGCCAAAAACCCUAAAACUUUCCAAAGCCCCAUAACCUAAUACCCGGGUAUUACCUUCAGGAAGCCUGAACACCCCAAAUAUUUUUUAUUUCAUUUUUCAUUUUUUUUUGGUCUAACUGACUCCAAAAGUUUGGAAAAGAGUUCCUACAAAGGUUUUGGACAGUGAUUUUAACCCUAACGCCAAAAACCUUAAACCUUACCAUAGCCCCAUAACCUGAUACCCGGGUAUUACCUUCAGGAAGCCCGAACACCACAAACAUUUUUUUUUCAUUUUACAUUUUUUUUUUGGUGUACAAACUCCAAAAGGUCUGAAAGGUGUUCCUAAAAAGGUUUUGGACAGUGAUUUUAACCCUAAUGCCAAAAACCUCAAACCUUACCCUAGCACCAAAACCUAAUACCCGGGUAUUACCUUCAGGAAGCCCGAACACCCCAAAUAUUUUUUUUUCUUUUUUCUUUUUUUUUUUGGUCAACCUAACUCCAAAAGGUUGGAAAAGAGUUCCUACAAAGGUUUUUGGACAGUGAUUUUAACCCUAACGCCAAAAACCUUAAACAUUUCCUAAGCCCCAUAACCUAAUACCCGGGUAUUACCUUCAGGAAGCCCGAACACCCCAAAUAUUUUUUAUUUCAUUUUUCAUUUUUUUUUGGUCUAACUGACUCCAAAAGUUUGGAAAAGAGUUCCUACAAAGGUUUUGGACAGUGAUUUUAACCCUAACGCCAAAAACCUUAAACCUUACCAUAGCCCCAUAACCUGAUACCCGGGUAUUACCUUCAGGAAGCCCGAACACCCCAAAUAUUUUUUUUUAAUUUUACAUUUUUUUUUCGGUGUACAAACUCCAAAAGGUCUGAAACGUGUUCCUAAAAAGGUUUUGGACAGUGAUUUUAACCCUAAUGCCAAAAACCUCAAACCUUACCCUAGCCCCAAAACCUAAUACCCGGGUAUUACCUUCAGGAAGCCCGAACACCCCAAAUAUUUUUUAUUCCUUUUUUCUUUUUUUUUUGGUCUAACUAACUCCAAAAGGUUGGAAAAGAGUUCCUACAAAGGUUUUUGGACAGUGAUUUUAACCCUGAUGCCAAAAACCCUAAAACUUUCCAAAGCCCCAUAACCUAAUACCCGGGUAUUACCUUCAGGAAGCCUGAACACCCCAAAUAUUUUUUAUUUCAUUUUUCAUUGUUUUUUGGUCUAACUGACUCCAAAAGUUUGGAAAAGAGUUCCUACAAAGGUUUUGGACAGUGAUUUUAACCCUAACGCCAAAAACCUUAAACCUUACCAUAGCCCCAUAACCUAUUACCUUCAGGAAGCCUGAACACCCCAAAUAUUUUUUAUUUCAUUUUUCAUUUUUUUUUUGGUCUAACUGACUCCGUGUUUGGAAAAGAGUUCCUACAAAGGUUUUGGACAGUGAUUUUAACCCUAACGCCAAAAACCUUAAACCUUACCAUAGCCCCAUAACCUGAUACCCGGGUAUUACCUUCAGGAAGCCCGAACACCACAAAUAUUUUUUUUUCAUUUUACAUUUUUUUUUUGGUGUACAAACUCCAAAAGGUCUGAAAGGUGUUCCUAAAAAGGUUUUGGACAGUGAUUUUAACCCUAAUGCCAAAAACCUCAAACCUUACCCUAGCACCAAAACCUAAUACCCGGGUAUUACCUUCAGGAAGCCCGAACACCCCAAAUAUUUUUUUUUCUUUUUUCUUUUUUUUUUUGGUCAACCUAACUCCAAAAGGUUGGAAAAGAGUUCCUACAAAGGUUUUUGGACAGUGAUUUUAACCCUAACGCCAAAAACCUUUAACAUUUCCUAAGCCCCAUAACCUAAUACCCGGGUAUUACCUUCAGGAAGCCCGAACACCCCAAAUAUUUUUUUUUCAUUUUUCUUUUUUUUUUUGGUCUAACGAACUCCAUAAGGUUGGAAAAGAGUUCCUACAAAGGUUUUGGAAAGUUAUUUUCACCCUAACGUCAAAAACCUUAAACCUUACCAUAGCCCCAUAACCUAAUACCCGGGUAUUACCUUCAGGAAGCCCGAACACCCCAAAUAUUUUUUUUUUCAUUUUACAUUUUUUUUGUAUGUAACCAACUCCAAAAGGUCUGAAACGUGUUCCUAAAAAGGUUUUGGACAGUGAUUUUAACCCUAAUGCCAAAAACCUCAAACCUUACCCUAGCCCCAAAACCUAAUACCCGGGUAUUACCUUCAGGAAGCCCGAACACCCCAAAUAUUUUUUAUUCCUUUUUUCUUUUUUUUUUGGUCUAACUAACUCCAAAAGGUUGGAAAAGAGUUCCUACAAAGGUUUUUGGACAGUGAUUUUAACCCUGAUGCCAAAAACCCUAAAACUUUCCAAAGCCCCAUAACCUAAUACCCGGGUAUUACCUUCAGGAAGCCCGAACACCCCAAAUACAUUUUUUUUCUUUUUUCUUUUUUUUUUUGGUCAACCUAACUCCAAAAGGUUGGAAAAGAGUUCCUACAAAGGUUUUUGGACAGUGAUUUUAACCCUAACGCCAAAAACCUCAAACCUUACCCUAGCCCCAAAACCUAAUAUUAGGGUAUUACCUCCAGGAAGCCUGAAAACCCCAAAUAUUUUUUUUUCAUUUCUCUUUUUUUUGGGUCUAACUGACUCCAAAAGUUUAGAAACAGUUCCUACAAAGGUUUUGGACAGUGAUUUUAACCGUAACGCCAAAAACCUUAAACCUUACCAUAGCCCCAUAACCUGAUACCCGGGUAUUACCUUCAGGAAGCCCGAACACCCCAAAUAUUUUUUUUUAAUUUUACAUUUUUUUUUCGGUGUACAAACUCCAAAAGGUCUGAAACGUGUUCCUAAAAAGGUUUUGGACAGUGAUUUUAACCCUAAUGCCAAAAACCUCAAACCUUACCCUAGCCCCAAAACCUAAUACCCGGGUAUUACCUUCAGGAAGCCCGAACACCCCAAAUAUUUUUUAUUCCUUUUUUCUUUUUUUUUUGGUCUAACUAACUCCAAAAGGUUGGAAAAGAGUUCCUACAAAGGUUUUUGGACAGUGAUUUUAACCCUGAUGCCAAAAACCCUAAAACUUUCCAAAGCCCCAUAACCUAAUACCCGGGUAUUACCUUCAGGAAGCCUGAACACCCCAAAUAUUUUUUUUUCAUUUUUCUUUUUUUUUUGGUCUAACGAACUCCAUAAGGUUGGAAAAGAGUUCCUACAAAGGUUUUUGGACAGUGAUUUUAACCCUAAUGCCAAAAACCUCAAACCUUACCCUAGCCCCAAAACCUAAUACCCUUCAGGAAGCCCGAACACCCCAAAUGGAGUUCGUUAGACCAAACCUUACCAUAGCCCCAUAACCUGAUACCCGGGUAUUACCUUCAGGAAGCCCGAACACCCCAAAUAUUUUUUUUUAAUUUUACAUUUUUUUUUCGGUGUACAAACUCCAAAAGGUCUGAAAGGUGUUCCUAAAAAGGUUUUGGACAGUGAUUUUAACCCUAAUGCCAAAAACCUCAAACCUUACCCUAGCCCCAAAACCUAAUACCCUUCAGGAAGCCCGAACACCCCAAAUAUUUUUUUUUCUUUUUUCUUUUUUUUUUUGGUCAACCUAACUCCAAAAGGUUGGAAAAGAGUUCCUACAAAGGUUUUUGGACAGUGAUUUUAACCCUAACGCCAAAAACCUUAAACAUUUCCUAAGCCCCAUAACCUAAUACCCGGGUAUUACCUUCAGGAAGCCCGAACACCCCAAAUAUUUUUUAUUUCAUUUUUCUUUUUUUUUGGUCUAACUGACUCCAAAAGUUUGGAAAAGAGUUCCUACAAAGGUUUUGGACAGUGAUUUUAACCCUAACGCCAAAAACCUUAAACCUUACCAUAGCCCCAUAACCUGAUACCCGGGUAUUACCUUCAGGAAGCCCGAACACCCCAAAUAUUUUUUUUUCAUUUUACAUUUUUUUUUCGGUGUACAAACUCCAAAAGGUCUGAAACGUGUUCCUAAAAGGUUUUGGACAGUGAUUUUAACCCUAAUGCCAAAAACCUCAAACCUUACCCUAGCACCAAAACCUAAUACCCGGGUAUUACCUUCAGGAAGCCCGAACACCCCAAAUAUUUUUUUUUCUUUUUUCCACAUUUUUUUUUUGGUGUACAAACUCCAAAAGCUCUGAAAGGUGUUCCUAAAAAGGUUUUGGACAGUGAUUUUAACCCUAAUGCCAAAAACCUCAAACCUUACCCUAGCACCAAAACCUAAUACCCGGGUAUUACCUUCAGGAAGCCCGAACACCCCAAAUAUUUUUUUUUCUUUUUUCUUUUUUUUUUUGGUCAACCUAACUCCAAAAGGUUGGAAAAGAGUUCCUACAAAGGUUUUUGGACAGUGAUUUUAACCCUAAUGCCAAAAACCUUUAACAUUUCCUAAGCCCCAUAACCUAAUACCCGGGUAUUACCUUCAGGAAGCAUAAACACCCCAAAUAUUUUUUUUUCAUUUUUCUUUUUUUUUUGGUCUAACGAACUCCAUAAGGUUGGAAAAGAGUUCCUACAAAGGUUUUGGACAGUGAUUUUCACCCUAACGUCUAAAACCUUAAACCUUACCAUAGCCCCAUAACCUGAUACCCGGGUAUUACCUUCAGGAAGCCCGAACACCACAAAUAUUUUUUAUUUCAUUUUUCAUUUUUUUUUGGUCUAACUGACUCCAAAAGUUUGGAAAAGAGUUCCUACAAAGGUUUUGGACAGUGAUUUUAACCCUAACGCCAAAAACCUUAAACCUUACCAUAGCCCCAUAACCUGAUACCCGGGUAUUACCUUCAGGAAGCCCGAACACCACAAAUAUUUUUUUUUCAUUUUACAUUUUUUUUUUGGUGUACAAACUCCAAAAGGUCUGAAAGGUGUUCCUAAAAAGGUUUUGGACAGUGAUUUUAACCCUAAUGCCAAAAACCUCAAACCUUACCCUAGCACCAAAACCUAAUACCCGGGUAUUACCUUCAGGAAGCCCGAACACCCCAAAUAUUUUUUUUUCUUUUUUUUUUUUUUUUUGGUCAACCUAACUCCAAAAGGUUGGAAAAGAGUUCCUACAAAGGUUUUUGGACAGUGAUUUUAACCCUAACGCCAAAAACCUUAAACAUUUCCUAAGCCCCAUAACCUAAUACCCGGGUAUUACCUUCAGGAAGCCCGAACACCCCAAAUAUUUUUUUUUCAUUUUUCUUUUUUUUUGGUCUAACGAACUCCAUAAGGUUGGAAAAGAGUUCCUACAAAGGUUUUGGAAAGUUAUUUUCACCCUAACGUCAAAAACCUUAAACCUUACCAUAGCCCCAUAACCUAAUACCCGGGUAUUACCUUCAGGAAGCCCGAACACCCCAAAUAUUUUUUUUUUCAUUUAUGUAACCAACUCCAAAAGGUCUGAAACGUGUUCCUAAAAAGGUUUUGGACAGUGAUUUUAACCCUAAUGCCAAAAACCUCAAACCUUACCCUAGCCCCAAAACCUAAUACCCGGGUAUUACCUUCAGGAAGCCCGAACACCCCAAAUAUUUUUUAUUCCUUUUUUCUUUUUUUUUUGGUCUAACUAACUCCAAAAGGUUGGAAAAGAGUUCCUACAAAGGUUUUUGGACAGUGAUUUUAACCCUGAUGCCAAAAACCCUAAAACUUUCCAAAGCCCCAUAACCUAAUACCCGGGUAUUACCUUCAGGAAGCCCGAACACCCCAAAUACAUUUUUUUUCUUUUUUCUUUUUUUUUUUGGUCAACCUAACUCCAAAAGGUUGGAAAAGAGUUCCUACAAAGGUUUUUGGACAGUGAUUUUAACCCUAACGCCAAAAACCUUAAACAUUUCCUAAGCCCCAAAACCUAAUACCCGGGUAUUACCUUCAGGAAGCCCGAACACCCCAAAUAUUUUUUUUUCAUUUUUCUUUUUUUUUGGUCUAACGAACUCCAUAAGGUUGGAAAAGAGUUCCUACAAAGGUUUUGGAAAGUUAUUUUCACCCUAACGUCAAAAACCUUAAACCUUACCAUAGCCCCAUAACCUAAUACCCGGGUAUUACCUUCAGGAAGCCCGAACACCCCAAAUAUUUUUUUUUUCAUUUUACAUUUUUUUUGUAUGUAACCAACUCCAAAAGGUCUGAAACAUGUUCCUAAAAAGGUUUUGGACAGUGAUUUUAACCCUAACGCCAAAAACCUCAAACCUUACCCUAGCCCCAAAACCUAAUAUUAGGGUAUUACCUCCAGGAAGCCUGAAAACCCCAAAUAUUUUUUUUUCAUUUCUCUUUUUUUUUGGGUCUAACUGACUCCAAAAGUUUAGAAACAGUUCCUACAAAGGUUUUGGAGAGUGAUUUUAACCGUAACGCCAAAAACCUUAAACCUUACCAUAGCCCCAUAACCUGA